rnacentral:lncRNA from 1 species
GAUACUUUGCUAUUGGAUUUACCUGAAAUUAGGGACAAUAAAGACUAGAUAAGAAGGGAGACAAAAGAAAAGACAACGUAACACUCAACAAGAAAGAAAUAACAUUGUGGAGCCACAAGAAGGAAAACUUGCAAAAAAUUCUAGAGAUUUCUAAAAGUACAAGUUUUGAAUAUACAUAUAUUCUAUAAUAUUACUAUACAAAUUACAAAGUCUAAAGAAAAUAUAUACAAAAGUUGAGAAAUGAAAUAAAGGGUGCAAUUCUCGAGGAUAUUUCACCACUCCACAAGCUUCAUUUAUCAUGGGCAAAAGACAAAGUUUUUCAAAUUUCUCUAUACUCGCAUGCCUACCUUCAUCAUCUUUGAACAGCAAACAAUCAGUUGUGCUUGCUUGGUUAGAGGAUGUUUGGUGUGUUUUGAAAGUUCAAAAUCACUCCAAAAUUUUAUCUGUUUACAAACAGCUUAUUUUAAACCCAACUUAUUUAACUUGGGACUCAAUCGAACCGUACCAAAAAUAGUAGGGUGAGUUUGGUGUAUUUGUAUCGGAAACAAAUGCACCGCAAACGACGUUAACCAAGCAAACCCUAAGUGAGCUUCACCAUAAUCCAUAAUUCUCUUAUUUCUUUUUGUGCAAUCCACCAUAAUCAUCUUCAACGAUUGUGAAGUGGGUCUGAAGCAUUUGGCACUCUUCUUUUGCUGGAGAAGAACUCGCGCCAAUUACGUGUCACACGAUGCUGCUGCAUCCUCUGUUUCAUACCUGAUACUGCCUUCUUGUUCAUGCCAACGAGAGAAAUGGCACUCUUUUGGGACAAUGGCAGCUGAUUGGUUUCAGCCGAGACCAAGACCGAGAGAAAAACCAAGACCAUUACCUUCUGCAACAAACCCAACUGCAUUUUUGGAGAGAGAAAGAAAAUGGGGAAAUUAAAGGGAGUGGGGAAUAAGGAAGAAAGGGAUCAAGAGAAGUGAAAAUGUAAUUACGUGAGGGUUAGUGUUAUUGUGUACAUAUCCUGUAACACUUCUCACGCGGGGGACUUCUUUAUGUUUACGCGGUUAAUAUUCUAAGCAAAU